GUUUUUUGUUUAUACGUUUUUCUCUCCUCUUUUUCUCUAAAACCUUCAUCUUCUUCCUUUCCCCGUUAUAUAUUUCAUCUUCUUAGAAAGAGAGAAGCGUUGAUGGAAGUGGCUGAUUUUGGGAGGAGAGACAUGAGUAUACAGUGAUAUAACAAACAGUGUAGAAGAAAGCAUGUCAUGAAUGGUGUAAUGGAUGAUUUAGUUGGGAAGUGUGAUGAGACAUUUCAUGUUGACAGAAGAGAGAGAGCACAACCCGGGAAUGGCCAAAGAAAGUCUUUGCCUUUGUUGGGAGUGUGCUUUCUCUUCUUCUGUCAUCAUCACAUUAACUUUCCAUUACUCUUAGCUUUGGCUAUAUAUGUUAUACAUGCAGCACUAUGCCACUAUUGCAUACCAAUCAAGAAUCAUGCAUGCUUUGUAGAAAGAGAGAAACGUUGAUGGAAGUGGCUGAUUUUGGGAGGAGAGAAAUGAGUAUACAGUGAUAUAACAAACUGUGGAGGAAAGCAUGUCAAGAAGGGUUUAAUGGAUGGUUUAGUUGGGAAAGACAUCUCAUGUUGACAGAAGAGAGAGAGCACAACCCGUGAAUGGCCAAAGAGGCUUUCUUAGUGUGCUCUCUAUUCUUCUGUCAAUAUCAUCACAUUAACUUGCCAUAUACUCUGUAGCUUUGGCUAUAUGUGAUACAUGUAGCACUAUGCCACUAUCUCAUACCAAUUUAAGGUAAUGUUUUAAGCUUUUGUAUACUGCAUGUAGAUUGGUUAUAUCUGUCGUUUUUUGCUAUUCAAAUGGUAUCAUAUUUCAAAUAUGAUUUUGUUGUAGACAUCCCUAUAUUAAACCUAAUAACAAAUAGUAAAUAUGUAUUCAAAAAAUUAUAAUUUCAUAAAUGUAAUGUGUAACUUUAUUUAUAAUUCUUA